CUGCUGCCUCCCGUAGGAGUUUGGGCCGUGUCUCAGUCCCAAUGUGGCCGUCCACCCUCUCAGGCCGGCUACUGAUCGUCGCCUUGGUGGGCCUUUACCCCGCCAACCAGCUAAUCAGACGCGGGUCCAUCUUGCACCACCGGAGUUUUUCACACUGUCCCAUGCGGGACCGUGCGCUUAUGCGGUAUUAGCACCUAUUUCUAAGUGUUAUCCCCCAGUUGCCAAGGCAGGUUACCCACGCGUUACUCACCCGUCCGCCACUAAG
rnacentral:rRNA from 1 species